rnacentral:rRNA from 1 species
UGUCGUCAGCUCGUGUUGUGAAAUGUUGGGUUAAGUCCCGCAACGAGCGCAACCCUUAUCCUUUGUUGCCAGCGGUCCGGCCGGGAACUCAAAGGAGACUGCCAGUGAUAAACUGGAGGAAGGUGGGGAUGACGUCAAGUCAUCAUGGCCCUUACGACCAGGGCUACACACGUGCUACAAUGGCGCAUACAAAGAGAAGCGACCUCGCGAGAGCAAGCGGACCUCAUAAAGUGCGUCGUAGUCCGGAUUGGAGUCUGCAACUCGACUCCAUGAAGUCGGAAUCGCUAGUAAUCGUGGAUCAGAAUGCCACGGUGAAUACGUUCCCGGGCCUUGUACACACCGCCCGUCACACCAUGGGAGUGAGUUGCAAAAGAAGUAGGUAGCUU